UUGAAGUUCUUGCAGAUGUUCACCAGGGAAAGUAGAAGGUUUUUGGAAGGGAAUAUUUCAGGAUUCAGGCAGUGCUCUGAACAGGAACUAAAUAUUUUUGGAAGUGGAAGGGAAUUGAAAGAGAGGCCCAGUUUCAUUCCAUUUAAACUCCCCAAGUCAAAAGUAUAAAGUAGUUGGACAUGGAUAUUGCUAAAAAUCAAAGUUGUAUCUUUUCUUGUUAUGUAAUCGUAAAGGGAAAUUGUAAGCAUUGUGCGAGGUUUUCUGACAUGGGAUUAGAGAAAACCCAAAUAAUCUCUUUAAGAUUAAAAAAAAAAGUGCGGAGGCUUUCCACAAUGAAAAGAAAUUAAACCACAGCUUAGCACGUUACAAGCUCAUGGCAAGAGCAAACUCGUGGAAUACGAGCAAAGUUUAAAAAGAAAUACAGUCAUGCUGGUGAAUUUUAGGACAGAAGGUGGUUCAGUGGCUUGCACUGGAAUGAUCUCUUGGCACAUGCAAGUUUGAACAUCCAGUGAAACGAUUCCUGUGUUUCCUCUCUCGCCGGCUAAUGUCAUCAAUAUUUAUAUUUAGUCAGGGACUUUUCCAAUUCUGCCUUCAAGUAAGAAUGAAAACUGCUCUGUUUACUAAUAAUUGCUUGGCAUGCAGGAGUCUGACACGGGUGAGCCUUAUUUUCUCUGACCUCAUCUUGGGAUUAAGUUUCUGCAGAGACUUAUCAGAUACAAACCAUGCGAGGAGAAGUCUGUUUUCUAACCCAGUAGGCCUGCUCCCUCGGGCCCCCCACGUUUUUUCUCCAUGGAAAACACCUUUAGUCAUCUGAAGAGAUUCUCUGCAAAGAAAACAGUUGGUACCACCAGAAAGGCCAUGCAAGUUGCAACAAAUUCAACAGGCACAAAAGUUUUAAUUACGCCUAAAAACACUGGUUGUAAGAUGUUAGAGCAGGGGAAAAAGGCAGGGGAGGAACAGACCCCAAAAGCACCCCCAUCCUAAAAUGGGUGCGUUGGGGUGUCCAGCGUUGCUCCAAGACAAUUCGGGCAGCUAUUUUAAGGCCACUUCCCUUGCAAUGUGGUUUGAAAUAUUACCAAAGCUUCCACGGGGCGCAUUAGUGUGAAUUGCAAAUCAGAGCAUUUCUUUAAUCCUCUUUCAAGGCCGGGCUUUGGAUCACUGGUGUGGAGGGGCUCCCCACUGCUCCUGGCGCAGGGGGGACCAUUCAAGGGGGCAGCUUCCCUCCGCUAUUCCCACACUCCAAAAAACAACACUGCAGACAGACACCCUCCAACUAAAUUAGAUUAAACUCCUUCUCUUGCACAGAGCGUUGGCCUUUUCCCUGCCCAAGCUGCCGCCUUCGGCUCCUCCUCAUUUAAAGAUACAGGAUUCCUUUUAUCUCAGCACCAACUGCAAUACAUAACGGGCAAUACACAACAGCAAACAUUAUAGAUAGAUAGAUAGAUAGAUAGAUAGAUAGAUAGAUAGAUAGAUAGAUAGAUAGUUUUUAAAAUGACAAAGCCGGCCUUCUAUCUAAAUCCUUUCAAAUGUCAACGAGGUUAUCUGUUUAAAAUACAGGAAGACUUGCAUGCCGGCUAGGCCAGUUGACCCUUAACCCGGGGCAGACCUGGCCCUGCAGAAAGCACUUAAACCUGUAAUUCCGUCCUAGGCUGUUUUUUGAAGAGUUAUAUAUGAAAAAAGAAAAUGACAGAAUCCCAGCAAAAAUGAAACGAGAGAGAGAGUGUGUGUUUUAUUUUGGUGUGUGUUUAUAUUCCUGACAGCUUCAUGGACCGGUUAUUGGGAAUGCAUGCCCGUUAUAGGCGUUCAAACUUCAUUCUUUGCCAUAAACGCUUUGCUUCUCGGCCUUCUCGGGCUGUGCUGAUUUAAUUAUGCACCUUCCCAUCUGUUUCCUUUGGCUCUGCUCCUGCACGCUGGGACCCUUUUUUGUGUGUGUCCUGAGGAGCCGGGGCUACCAUAUGGGGGCUGAGGGGUCAGCCCACCACGGCCUGCGGCCCCUGCACAGGUGAGGAAGGGCCGGGGGUUUAACAGGCAGCUGCUCCUGCAGGGACAAAGCAGGCCCAGCAGCUGGCCCUGCCUUCAACAGGAGCGGGAAGAAUGACCUCACGUAGCUCUGAGUCUGAAGCCACGCGGCCAAACCGUGGUGAGCUGGGGGAAAACUGGGCCGGAUGCCUGGGUCCGAAUGCCCCUCUGUACCCUCUAGCCGUGCGGCCUGGGAUGAGCAUCUCCUGGUCUCUCUGCCUCAGUUUUCUCAUCUGCAAAAUGGGGCCUCACAGGGCACAGUGAGGAUGACGCCUAACACAUGGGAAGUGUUAACAACACCAAGCAUGCAGUAAGUGCUCAGUUAACGGUACCGUUGUGAUUGCUGAAAUAUAGUGUAACCGGAAGGCGAGAACUCAGCGAAGAGAGGCCCCGCAACGUGACAUCUGUGGGCAGGGGUGUGGGGACGGGAGAGGUUAGGAGCACAAUAACACUCGCUGGCAGUGGCAUCACGUAAAUAAUAAACAAGCUAACAAGGGCCGAAGCGGAGUGGGCGUGUGGCACGUGCUGUUCUGAGCCUCUGACGUGAAACAACUCAGAGUCCUCACGGCUGCCCCAGGGAGCAGGUCGGGGGAAGGUUCCCAUUUCAGAGGUGAAGGGUGGGGCCGGGGUGGGGCAGCUUUGGGCGUCUAAGUCGCAAGCCCGAGGCCAACCGGCUAACAGGGGCGGAGUCCACUCUGGCCACUGUGCCACCAGGCCCUGUGUGGCAGAUGUCCUCGCACGCAGUAAAUGUCUGCAGUGGUGCCGGGACUUUCAGCGAGGGAUCCCGUUUCGGCCGGGGGGAUCAUCAAGUUGUGGUUUAUGGCCUUUUUCUCUUCUUCUGCCGCUUUCUUGUCAUCUCAAUAUUCUGAUUCCUCGUGUUCAAAGGGAUUCUUUAGAGUCACAGAUGCUGGGGAAGGAGCGGGGGAAACACCACAUGGGCGGUGUUGAUGUGUGUGGGUUCACCCUUGUCCUCAGCUGUGCAACCCCUGGCAAGUUACUCAACCUCUCUGAGCUUCGUCCUGUUUCCUCUGCUGUAGAAUGAGGGCAGUAACAACCACUUGAUGAUGUUUGGGGUAGGGAUUAAGUGAGGUAACUCGUGUUAAACACUUACAACCGUGUCUGGCACAUAACGUUAGCCGUGUGGGAUUAACUUGUCUGCAGACUUUCUGGUCAGUUGACUUUUCUUUGUUAAAUUCUUCGUUUGUCUUGUCUGGCUAGAAGUCAAGAUGGUUUACUAACAGCAUCACUCACGAGUCUUUUCCUUUUCCGCAGAGCUGCUGGACUCGUGUAGCGUCCCGUCUUCCUUGAACUCAACCACAGCGAGCGGCUGACAGCCCCUGGCCUGCCCGGGGGGUCUCUGCAAGGGCCCAGGAAACCAUCUCUUUGGUAACCACACUGUUUGGUGAGCUGCUCGCUGUCUCAGUUGCUGCCGAAUGGGUGUGUUUGAAGCCAGAGGGGUGACAUUCCCAAGCCACCGUCUGCCUGUCGGAGGCUGGUACUGACCGCCCGCACGUCGUCCCACCCCAGCUUCCAGAAGAAUCUGCUGGACUAGGAACGAGGCAUUUGGGGGAGCACAGGGGCCAGGCCAGCAGGGCCCCACUGAAGAGGGCAGCCGUUCCGCCACAUUUCGGCAGCUUGAAUGUGUAUCCACCGGGCCAGGGAGUGGCUUAAUUACCAGCGUAAUAGCAGGUGCACUUACGGCUUCGGGUUUCAGGGAGGAAAAGCAUCAUCCCAAAAUGCUUUUGAUGUGGUUUAUUAAGCCAUGAGGCCGCAGUGACCGUGAAUUUUAAGUGCUUGUUGCAGUACAUGGAAAAAAGCGUAUGCCAUGAUUGUAGAGGACAUUCCAGAUCCCAGAUCCCAGGUUUGGAAGGAUGUCAGGAAUGUCCUCUGCUCCCUCCUCCUGCUUCCUGAAGGACCAGGUCUACACCAGCCCACACGACUAGCUAUUAAUGCAACACAUAGACAAACUCCCAGAGAAAAGAGCCCCCGCAAACUACAGCGUCACUCGGCCUUUGGAAUCAGAAAGUGCCGCCUGACGUCUCGCCGAGAUCCCACUGCUGGACUUUAAGCAGGUUCCUUCUCCACCUUAGAGGUCAAACACGUCCUCAGCUCAGCCUUCAGAUAGCAGCAGGUUUGAAACAGGCAAAGUCUUCGUGAGCAAAUCCUUUGCGUACGGCGUCUCCGCCUGUGUUUCAGCAUGAUAUUUAAACACCGGGCCAGAUGUCUGCGCAGUUCUUCUACUCAUGUGAAAGCUAUUUCAUCAGAGAAGUAAAGAGCCAGCCACCGUGGCCCGCGAUCUGCCCUGACGCCCGUGUUUGUAAAUAAAGUUUUAUCGCCACACGGCCCCACGCCCAGGUCGCUACUAGAAGCCUUGAAAUCCAUGCGUUCUGCUCAAAGUUGCUACUAGAAACCUUGAAGUCACAUGUGGGUUCUCAUCACAUUUCCACUGGCCUGUGCUCUCGAGACACAUGGUGCACACGCGUGUCUUAGAGGCCAAAUCCACGCCCCACACGUUUUGUUCGGACUCUGCGGUGUUUCAAAGAAAUUUGGGUUUGUUCGUGGACUGUAAGGCAUCACCGUAUUUCACAUCAAGUUCAGAGCUCUCACCUUCUCGAGAAAAUCUCAGGGCCUGGGUACAGGUCUGGCUGCAGGUGAGCAGCCGCUGCGCCCGCAGACAGGACACUGCGAGGACCCGGAGCUCCAGCUCGCCGCUGCCCACGCGUCACUUCUACGGCCCGAGAGGCCGCGGGGCAGAGGGCAGGCGGAGUCCGAUCCGGACGCCAGGCUCGGUAGAAAACUUCCCCGUUCACCUCGGAUAAGAACCCUGCUUCUGGGUUAGACGGGACAAGAGAGUCCGGGGGGGCCCAAUUACAAAGCUGAGAAAGCGAAGGUGUCUUUGCCUCAGUUUCCCUGCAUGUGAGGAGCAUAAUUACACGGCCAGGAGUUGGGAAACUUAAUUACUGUUUGCGAAGCCCCGUGAGAUGACGGGGUUAGACUUGCGGGAGGGGUUCUCACCCGCGCUUUGCCUUUGGUUCUCGCUCCAAGCCAAACCACGGUGAGUCACCCUGGCAAACCCAUGCCGGGACCCGCCAACACAGACAGGCCUGUUGGCGGCAGCUCCGCGGAGGGCCGGCCUGGCGGGGUCCAGAGCGGCCCGAGUGGCUCCUACAAAGCUCCCGGUCGUGACAGCACCUUCCCUUUGGGUGCCGCUGGCGGGGGUCGGCGAAGAGGAGGGAGCUUCCUUAGCUUCCGACGCCGACUCAAAUGCUCCGUGGAGAUGUGCUGUUUUCUGGCUUCCCCGAGAGUCUGCGACAGGGCCAGGCUCAAGUCCCCACCGUCGGACGUCCCAAACUUGCUCAGCCACGGGCACGUCACUGGAAUUGGAAUGAUUGAUACUCCCCACGUCAAACACCCCUCCCCUUUGAGACCCCCUAAUCAGUGGGGUGUCCCUGCACGGCCGGGAGCCCGGCAGGGGUCACCAUCAGGCCCCGGACUCAUCCAGCACCUUCCAGAGGGGGUGGGGGCCCCAGCCAGAUUGAAACUCCGGGGGGCCGGGCGGGAGGCCCCACACUGAGGUCCACGCCCGGCAGGCAGGCCCUACUGUGCGCCCUGCCCGUGGGUGCUGCUCCAUGUGGAGGACGAGGUGGGGGGCACAGCGCCGCCUUCUCCGGGGCACGGGCUGCCCCGCGGGUGCUGCCAGGUCGCUGCGGGCAGUGUGUGCGUAGCGGCUGCCCUCCAGCCCGGGGGACCCGGGCAUUUUAAGGCAAAACCCUCCCAGCUGGGGACCGUGCGGCUCUGCAGCAGGCAGAGGCGUGAGCGGGAAGGAGAGGCCGGGUCCAGCCGUGGAGGACGUUGGGGACGCUGCGGGGUUUGCGCGGAUGGAGGGAGGGAGGCCCGUGGGCAGGUCGUGGCCGUCUUCCUUCCUCACUGCCACACCCUGGGGACCCACGGGACAGUGCCUUGCUGGCCCCCGGGUCAGCCAGAAACUGGAAGGCAGGACUCCAGGGCCUCGGGGGCUCGGCCAGAGCAGCUCGUGGACCAGGCCCCUGCCGGGUCCCCAGAAACUCUGCGGCAAAGCGGCAGAGGACACCGGGGCCGGAUGGGGGCUGCACCCAAGCGCAGGACUAAAAGUCAUUCCUGGGGGACAUUCCGCCUCCACCCACGAGAAGCUCCCUGCUGAGUUCCCCGCGCUGCCCUCCCUCAGGAACCCGCCAUGGCUGGCAACUCCCCGAUCCCGUCUCCCCCUGAGCUUCUGUUGUCCCAAUCUCCAGGCCCCGGCCCUCGAAUGUGGCCCGAACCUUUCAGUUCCGUGUGGCUCGGACUCCUGAGGACGUUGCCUCCCUGAAGACACACAGUAUCUCUGUGUCUAUUUUCCUCCUUAGGAGGGGGCGGCAGGGUGGUCUGCACCCCUCCCUGGAGCCUGGAGCAGGGUGGGCUGGUUGUGGCAUCCGUGGGCGGCAGACGGUGGCGGGUGCGCGGGACACUGCUGGUUCUAUUCGGAAAUUAUCCCGGGUGUGAUGGCGCCAAGGCCGACCCAGCACACGCCUUGUGCUCUUGUCUCGCAGCCCUCGCGACACCCCAGAGGUCAAGCCUGUCAUUGCGGCCCCAUUUCACAGCUCAGGAAACCGAGGCCAGAGAGGGCAGCGGCCUGCUCAGGGUCACGGGGCGGGGCAGAGCCGGCAGCAGCCUGUGCCCGCCGCCUCCGGAGUCCGCGUCCUUUGUCAUCCGCCUGGCUUUCAAUGUCAGGAAAAAACCCUUUCAGACACCAGCGGAGUUUGGCUUCUGAGCUGCCGUGGGCUAAAAACAGAACAGGGAUGAUUUGCAGCGAGGCAGCUGGGGAGGCUGAUGACCUCGCUCAAGG